rnacentral:lncRNA from 1 species
AAGACACAUUUAAUAGAAUCAACUUAUGUAGAUAAAGAGUAUUUGCCUGGGGACCGUGGGGUAAUAAAGCGACAUGGUGAAAGGUUUUGAAUGUCAAAGACACUGGGACAGGUAAACCACAUUAUGGAGGCAACAAAGUAGCACUAACUGAUGACAAAGUACACGAAGGACUGUAUAAGAGAAACACUGGAGUCAUGAAACACCACUGGUUGGUGUAGUACAGUGCCAGGCAUGAAGAGGUAACAGGUCUACUCCAGGGGCAAGGGGAGAAGUGAAGAAUAAUUCUCUGAAUAAGAAAGAUAUUAUCAUCAACCAGCACACUUUGUUACUAAUGACUAGCAGUGAGAUGACAGCAAGGAAUAAAUCACAGGCUCCAAAGGGUCUAACAAGAUUCAAUUUAAUUAAGGAAACGAUGGUAUUGCUCAUGAAAAUACUUUAAUGGUGGAAGAAUAAAUAGAAGCAUAAUUGAUCACCAGGCCAGACAUGCAGUGUUUCAUUGGGCCGGUUCCUCCUUAUAAUGGCAAAAAAGUAUGACUAAACAAAUGCAAGCAUACACAUCACUCCUUAGAUCAUUCUUGAUGGGCAUUAGACACUGAAUAUAGAGAAUUUUUAAGGUCCAAAUCAUGGGAGAAUUCAUAGGAAAUCCAAGCUUUCUGUUUAGAUUAUACUUCUCUUCUUAUUUUGCUCUGUUAACACAAGUUGUUGGCCUUAGUUAAUUGGUGUUUCAUAUAGAUGAAAGUACUGACAAAACUUGGUUUGUCUUGGACACUCAUUCUUGUGGAAAUGUAACGAAAUUUUAAUUUGCACAGUAUCUGAUCCAAACAGGUUUUUCUUUUGUUGAGUGUGUUUUAUGAACCAUGUCAAGAAUUUUUUUUCCCAAUGCAGGAUCCAUUCUCUCACCAGGCAAAAGGAUUGCUCUCUCACUGUGUAAUUUCUCUGUAUGACCUAACAUCAAGUAGCUACAAUCUGUUCCAAGAAUUGAAAGCCUAGCUUUCCUCUCUGCCUACUUAGGUCGUGUGUUUAAUUUUUUAGGUCAAUAUAUCCAAUUAAAACAGGUUCAAUGCAGAAUAGAGAGAAAAAGGUGGAAGACUCACAAAGGACAAGAUGUUUACUUGUCUUAAGUUAUAUAAAUAAGAAGGGAAAUGAAAAUGCCCUACUGAUUUGUGCUGGGAGUGGGAGACCCCUAAAAUUCAACAACUCAAAAAACAUCUUUCAAGAUAGCAUCAGAGGAGUUCUGUGACCCCUGGAAAGGUCAAGGACAAAUGCUGUCCAUAUUUGGAGGAGGAAGAUGCUAUCUUUCAAGAUAGCAUCAGAUUCUCUCCAUAUUUGGAGGAGGAAGAUGCUGUCUUUCAAGGUAGCAUCAGAUUCUCUCCNCUCCAUAUUUGGAGGAGGAAGAUGCUACAAGAUAGCAUCAGAUUCUCUCCAAAUUUGGAGGAGGAGAUGCUAUCUUUCAAGAUAGUAUCAGAGGAAUCCUGUGACCCCUGGAAAGGUCAUGGACAAAUUCUCUCCAUAUUUGGAGGAGGAAGUCAUCAAAGUAUAUUUUAAAUCAAAUCAAAGAGGGUAUUCUAUCAGUCUCACGAACUAAUAAAAAAGUUCUGCAUUUUCAAUCCUUUGUAAAAAUUGCGAAGGACAGCAUUUUGGGGCAUCCACCUGCUUCUUUAUCUGGCUAGGCCUUUAGCUCCAGAGUUUUUAUAUUCCUCACAUGGGCAGAAUUCCAAAGGCCUUUACUCAUCCCUAUAGGGAGAUAGAGACCAAAUCAGGUGUCUUGCAGCUUUAGGCUGUAAGAGAUGUUAAGGUCUUGGAAGGGUCAGAUGGCUAGUUAAGUUAAGGUCUUGGAAGGGUCAGAUGGCUAGUUCUAGCUAACUGAAAGUAUCCUACUCUUUGCCCCUUUCUUUAAAAUCUGUGGUUAACUUGGCAAGAGAGACUAUCCAGAUUGAUUUUUAGGUUCUUUUCUUUGGCAAGAUGCUUGAUGACCAGAAGCAUUAGCUUUCUCAGGACUGUGUUUUGACACUUUCUGCACUCAUGAAGGAAGAAAUCAAUCCCAGAAAAGGAUGCUCUUAAUUAACUAGUCAAUGCCUUAUUAACUUUGAAUUCAUAAUGGAUAGCUAAGGGAAGGUGGUCUGUCUCAAAGCAAGCACACAGUCUCAACCGUCUGAGUUUAUGUUCUGGGUCUGCUGCUUAUAAACGUGUGACCUUGGGCAAAUUGUUGCAACACCACAGGCUGGGGCUCCUCAUCUGGACAAUGUAAAUAAAAAACAGUGCCUACCCCUCGGGGUUCUGGAAGUGAGAUGCGCUAAUGCAUAAAACACAUUUAGCCCAGCGUUCUCUCCUGCUUGGUGCUCCCUUGAGGUCAGUUGUUAGGAUGUGGUUACUCACUGAGCCUACUUUGACUACACUGAAAACCAAAUAGUACUCCAAUAAUACUCUGCUUUUGUGCAAUUGCCUUAAUUUUCCUGGGAUGCCUUGUACAUGCCACCGUUGUGCCUUUACCCGUGCUAUUUCCCUCAUCUGGAUGAACCAUUGACCAUCCUGCCCUGAACUAUAAGACAGUGCAAAAUUCCGGAUGCUUCCUCUGUCUCUCCCAAUUCUAUCCACUCUGACCCUUUCUCUCAUUCCUCACCUGCUUAACAGUUUCUUAUGUGAUGUCUGCUACGUGAUGCAGAAUAACCAACCUAAAGUAAAUAAGCCAACAUUGGCAUUACUCUUGGCCUGUGGAGUUUUGUGUUGUACAGAACAUGUAGUGCUGCUUAGGCAUAUAUUUUCAUUUUAGAAACCAAACAGGAAGAGGCUGUUCUAUCCCAAAGGGCUUUACAAACCCACCCCUCU